UGAACAACAUAAACAACCAGAAUAACCAGAACAACCGCAACAACCUGAGCGAUCCAGAAUCGCAAGCCAAUGAUCCACCCAACAACACCAACUGCUCCAAAGUGGAGCUAGUCGAGAAACUGUUCAUGUGGCAGCAGCAGAAACGCAAGACCUAGGGCCGCCACAGGACACAUAAAUAUUAAGGAGCAACUACUGAAGGGAUGGCCUUCAGACAUCCGGAGCGAAGCGUAUUAAGGGAAUUAGGCACAUUGAGUGCAAAUGGAAACCAAACAAAAACAAAAAUAAAACAAAACGAAACAAAACAACAAGGAGCGAUAUGUAAAUGAAUAAAGAAAACACAUUAGAGCUGAAAAUUGAAUAGAUUUAUAUAUAUAUACAAAGUGGCAGAACAUAUAUUCUACUAUGAAUAUCUGCAUAUAUAUUUAUAUGUGCCCUCAAGUAAAUAUAUAUAUAGAUAUUUAAUUAUAUAUAUUUAUAUAUAUUUAUCCAAUUAUACACUUAAUUGAAUUCAGAACAGGAACAAAUACAAAAAAUUAGAUAAAAUCCACAAAAAAUGAGACGACAAACAACAAACAAAAUUGUAAAGCUGAGAAGAAAGGGAAACGACUUUUUGCCAAAAUAUCCAUUUAAUUAAAAAAUAAAUAUACAUAGAUACAUAAAUAUAUUCAUAUAUAUUUAUAGAAGCAAGGAGAAAAUUGAUAUUGAUAGUUUUGUUAACAACAUUGCACACCUUAACACACCCACACCCACAGAGACACAAACUUGAGACAAAAACUGACUGGCUAGAGACCAAAAUUAUCUGGGUUUUCAAAUGAAUAAAAUAGAAAAAAAUGAAAAAUAAAAACUAAAAAAAACAAUUAAGGAUGAUAAGUUCAGAUACCAUUUUAUAUGAGUAAUGAUAUGAGGUGAUGGGAUUAGAAACCAACAAAGCUGCUAAGGGAUAACUAUUAAAACUGAACUUGUUAAUCGGAUGAUGGACCCCAUGGGGUUCGUAGUAAGCCAAGGAACUAACGGUCAGCAGUUGAGGGAAAGGCCUAAAAUAGAUAAAAAUAAAAAUAAGUUAGUUGAGAAAGAGGCAGGGUAUGUCUGAAAUUUUUAGCAAGUAGUCUUAAGAAAAUUUGAACAGAUUCAUAGAUACAUAAAGAGAGUAUAUACACUCAUACGUAUAUAUGUAUAUAUAUAUAAAUGUGCGAAUACAAAAUUAACACAAAAAUUCGAAUUUAAUUAAUUUUAAGUAAACAAAACAAAUCGGACAUAAAAGUUAGAACUAUAUGGGCUGAGAGGCCUUUUAUUAUACGCAACGCUUUGAAGGCUACGUUUAUUAAGGGCGGAGAAGCGAAUAGAUAUGUAUAUUUGCUGCACUGGGUUCAGUCUUACGCGACCACGGGAAAAUAUCAUUUUUAUAACAGAAUAUAAUGGAGAUAAUCCGAAUAAUUUAGGAAGCCCAUAGCGGAUUGGUUAGAGCUAUUGAAGAAAAUCAAAGUGGCGCCAGCUACACAAAAUUAAACCUAGAAAGGACUCACACGUGUAAUUGACAGCGAUCAUUUCUAUUGGCCUACACUCACUGUUGGAGACACGUCCUUUACUUGUUUGAAUUACACCUACGUUCGUUACUUUAAGUGGUUUAAAAUUGUAUCAGCAAGUUCGCAAAACGUUAUAGAAUAACAAUUUUUGAAUAAAAUUAAAGAACAACUUUACACUUAAACUUAGCUGCUUGCAACAAAACAAUUACAGGUACUUUCAUAUAUACAUGGAUAUAUAUUCAAUUAUAUAUAUACAAACAUGUAUAUGUAUAGUUAUAUUACAAGAGCAAGUCGAAUAAGCCCAAAAGGUACAUCAAAAUAGCAGAUACUAAUAAGAAGCAUAGAAACCAAGCAAACUGGCCCCUGAAACUUUUGCUAUGAAUGUAUAUAUACAUGCAAAAAACCUAUAUAUACACGAUAUAUAUACAUCUUUAGAUGGCCGUUUAUUUGCAAAUUAAACCAAUGUUAAAUUCCUUAAAAUCAUUGCCACUCACCCAUCAUUUAAGUUCGUAUAGAGGACACUUUCAAAAAUUGUGUAAAAAUAUAUCUCUAUAAAUCAAACCACUAUAGCUCCGCGUGUUAAGUCGAAUAUCUAACUAUUUAGCAGCGAAAUCUGUACAAAGAAGGAAUUUAGAGGAGAGUCGAUCUACAGCUAAAUAUGCCAAAAAUUAAAAGUUAUGGGUAGUAGAAGGAAAAUCGAAUAAGAACAGUAAACAAUUAUUUAGAUUUUGUAUAGCGAAAAUGAGACGUUGCAGCUAGUCUGUGCAUCCUAAGGAGAAAAAUAAAAAUAAAUAUCUAAUUAUUAUUAAAUCAUACACAUACAUAAGUACACUUAUUCACCUUUAUUUAAAUGCAUACGAAUUAGAUAUUUCAUGUGAAUGAAAAUUGUUAUCAAAUUAAAAGUUAAAUUUUGUUACCAGUGCAAUGCUUUCUUUGGUGCAGACCCCUGCGAUUGGGUACUCUAAUCUAACCGACACCCAGUAUUUAGUCCAGUUUAUUUCGGUUGAGACUUAUUUUAUGAUUUAAGUAUUGACAGUCGAUCAAAAAAACAGUAUUAGAUUUCAGAAGGGACUCGGGCCCAGUUAAGGGUAAUGGAGAGUCCUCCUUGGACUCAACCCAAGAAGAUUUUCCCCACAUUUGAAAUUGGUUUUACACACAAUGUUAGUCCCUGGCGGGAGUACUUCUGUAAAUAAAGAAAGUAAUACUUAGCGGCGGAUGAAAGUCCCACACAGAUAAGAUCGGAAUGAAAUCGUAGUUAUAGCGACACUUGCAUACAAACAUACAAACACACAUAUACAUAUACAAAUACAUAUACAUAUAUGCAAAAUUAUGAAACUGAUUUUAGCGCCUAUCCAGUAGAUCACUAUGGCACCCAGGCCCAAGUAUUUUGAGAAAUUUAAAUUAAACGCUAAACUAAAAUUUUAUCUUGGAAACUAAACUCACGCAAAUACACGCGAACACACUAUAUGUAUUUACGAUCUUGUAUGAAUCGAUCUAGUCAAAUUGAAGUUAAUUAUUUCAUAAAGAAGAAACGUUUUAUGGAUAAUGAAUAAUACAAUUUAAUCCAAGUCAAACUAUUAAGAUAAUAAUAAUUUACUAUUAUUAUGUACCAUGAUUAUGAUUACGAAUAUGAUUUAUUCUGUAUUGAAAAUACAAACGCAAGUAUUUAAAUUUAAAUUUAAAUGAAUAUAUACAAAAUUAUUAUAUGCUAUUAUACAAAACUAGAUUAUAUACACUCUACUAUUAAACAGAAUCAAGAAACAUUAAGAAACUUAGAGCAAAACUGAUUUUGGCAAAAUUUUGCAAAUUAUAUACCAACGGGAAGGAUACCACGACCCCCAUUAUCAUACCUUGCCUAUUAUUUCUAAUGCGUAACCCACAAUGAAUUCAACAAACCAAUGAGAGCCGAAUUAAUAAAAGCGAGAACAUCAUGAAAAAAUUCAAA